GCUUCCAUGGCUCAGUUGGUUAGAGCGCAGGUCUCAUAGUCCACCUAUGAUCGCUGUUCAGCGAGCAAUCCUGAGGUCGUGAGUUCGACCCUCACUGGGAGCA